GACGAAGGGGGCUAGCGUUGUUCAGAAUUACUGGGCGUAAAGCGAGUGUAGGUGGUUGUCAUAGUCAGGUGUGAAAGCCUUGAGCUCAACUCAAGAAAUGCACUUGAUACUGGGCAGCUAGAGGACCGGAGAGGAUAGUGGAAAUUCCCAGUGUAGUGGUGAAAUACGUAGAGAUUGGGAAGAACACCAGUGGCGAAGGCGGCUAUCUGGACGGUUUCUGACACUAAGACUCGAAAGCGUGGGGAGGCAAACAGG
rnacentral:rRNA from 1 species